GUGAGGAAUAUUCCGCAAUGGGGGAAACCCUGACGGAGCAAUGCCGCGUGCAGGAUGAAGGCCCUCGGGUCGUAAACUGCUUUUAUAUGAGAAGAAUAUGACGGUAACAUAUGAAUAAGGGACGGCUAACUACGUGCCACCAGCCGCGGUCAUACGUAGGUCCCAAGCGUUAUCCGGAGUGACUGGGCGUAAAGAGUUGCGUAGGCGGCUCGUUAAGCGUGAAAUGAAAUUUAUCGGCUCAACCGGUAAACUAUUUCGCGAACUGACGGGCUCGAGAGUAUGAGAGGUUACUGGAAUUUCUAGUGUAGCAGUGAAAUGCGUAGAUAUUAGAAAGAACACCAACGGCGUAGGCAGGUAACUGGCAUACAUCUGACGCUGAGGCACGAAAGCGUGGGGAGCGAACCGGAUUAGAAACCCCGGUAGUCC
rnacentral:rRNA from 1 species